GGGGCCGUAGCUCAGUUGGGAGAGCGCAUCGUUCGCAAUGAUGAGGUCAGGGGUUCGAUUCCCCUCGGCUCCACCA
rnacentral:tRNA from 2 species